rnacentral:rRNA from 1 species
AGUUUGAUCAUGGCUCAGAACGAACGCUGGCGGCAUGCCUAACACAUGCAAGUCGAACGAAGCCUUCGGGCUUAGUGGCGCACGGGUGCGUAACACGUGGGAAUCUGCCCUUCGGUUCGGAAUAACAGUUAGAAAUGACUGCUAAUACCGGAUGAUGACGUAAGUCCAAAGAUUUAUCGCCGAAGGAUGAGCCCGCGUAGGAUUAGGUAGUUGGUAGGGUAAUGGCCUACCAAGCCGACGAUCCUUAGCUGGUCUGAGAGGAUGAUCAGCCACACUGGGACUGAGACACGGCCCAGACUCCUACGGGAGGCAGCAGUGGGGAAUAUUGGACAAUGGGCGAAAGCCUGAUCCAGCAAUGCCGCGUGAGUGAUGAAGGCCUUAGGGUUGUAAAGCUCUUUACCAGGGAUGAUAAUGACAGUACCUGGAGAAUAAGCUCCGGCUAACUCCGUG